AAAUUGAAGAGUUUGAUCAUGGCUCAGAUUGAACGCUGGCGGCAGGCCUAACACAUGCAAGUCGAACGGUAACAGGAAGCAGCUUGCUGCUUUGCUGACGAGUGGCGGACGGGUGAGUAAUGUCUGGGAAACUGCCUGAUGGAGGGGGAUAACUACUGGAAACGGUGGCUAAUACCGCAUAACGUCGCAAGACCAAAGAGGGGGACCUUCGGGCCUCUUGCCAUCAGAUGUGCCCAGAUGGGAUUAGCUUGUUGGUGAGGUAACGGCUCACCAAGGCGACGAUCCCUAGCUGGUCUGAGAGGAUGACCAGCCACACUGGAACUGAGACACGGUCCAGACUCCUACGGGAGGCAGCAGUGGGGAAUAUUG
rnacentral:rRNA from 1 species